rnacentral:rRNA from 1 species
ACGGGAUGCCUUAGUACGGCGAGUGAGCGGCAAAAGCUCAAAUUUGAAAUCUGGUACCUUCGGUGCCCGAGUUGUAAUUUGGAGAGGGCAACUUUGGGGCCGUUCCUUGUCUAUGUUCCUUGGAACAGGACGUCAUAGAGGGUGAGAAUCCCGUGUGGCGAGGAGUGCGGUUCUUUGUAAAGUGCCUUCGAAGAGUCGAGUUGUUUGGGAAUGCAGCUCUAAGUGGGUGGUAAAUUCCAUCUAAAGCUAAAUAUUGGCGAGAGACCGAUAGCGAACAAGUACAGUGAUGGAAAGAUGAAAAGAACUUUGAAAAGAGAGUGAAAAAGUACGUGAAAUUGUUGAAAGGGAAGGGCAUUUGAUCAGACAUGGUGUUUUGUGCCCUCUGCUCCUUGUGGGUAGGGGAAUCUCGCAUUUCACUGGGCCAGCAUCAGUUUUGGUGGCAGGAUAAAUCCAUAGGAAUGUAGCUUGCCUCGGUAAGUAUUAUAGCCUGUGGGAAUACUGCCAGCUGGGACUGAGGACUGCGACGUAAGUCAAGGAUGCUGGCAUAAUGGUUAUAUGCCGCCCGUCUAAAA